rnacentral:rRNA from 1 species
CAGCCGCCGCGGGAAUACGAGGGAUCCUAGCGUUGUUCGGAAUUACUGGGCGUAAAGCGUGCGUAGGCGGCUUGGUAAGUUAGAGGUGAAAGCCUGGAGCUCAACUCCAGAAUUGCCUUUAAGACUGCCGAGCUAGCAGGUGAGAGAGGUAAGUGGAAUUCCGAGUGUAGAGGUGAAAUUCGUAGAUAUUCGGAAGAACACCAGUGGCGAAGGCGGCUUACUGGCUCAUACUGGACGCUGAGGUGCGAAAGCGUGGGGAGCAAACAGGAUUAGAUACCCCCGUAGUCCCUGUCUCUUAUAU